rnacentral:guide_RNA from 1 species
AUAACACUUCAGCAGAGAGAAACCAGUGAGAGAUUAGUUAAUU